AUGCCCGAAGCACCAAUGCUACGAAUGAAGGCAGCUCGAAAGGGGAUCAGCCAGCAGAGGGGCUACGGCACUGCCAUCCCCUGGGCCCAUCUUGUUCCAUCGUCAGAAGGAGCCCCCAGCUCCUCGCCCCAGCUCGAAGGGCGCCGCACCGUCGGACGAUGGAAUGCUCACCACCCUAGAGCACAAAUGAAGACUAGCGCCGGAGCACCAAAGGGAGGUCUUCGAGCACAACCUCCUCGCCAAACCACACUCCUCAUGAGAGCACCACUGUCGAUGCAUGGGCUCGACACACGACGAGAAGAAGCCGCCAUCUGCAGAGCUCACCCUAGUGACCAGUAG
rnacentral:rRNA from 1 species